rnacentral:misc_RNA from 1 species
ACUCUUCAACCCUCCAGUUCCUUGUUGAACUGAUAGGUGUUUGGAUUUUGAGCGCUGCUGGUCCUUCGGGGCGAAGCUCGUUCGUAAUACAUUAGCAACUCAAUUUCGACAAUUCGGAUUGACUCGGCGUAAUAGACUAUUCGCUGAGGACACUAGCUUUGCUGGUGGCCGAAUUUCGAGGUAGAAGCUUCUAAACCGAUCAGAAGUCAAUUCUUAG